rnacentral:lncRNA from 1 species
CUAAGUUUCAGAAUCUUAAGCACUACCUACCAAUGAAUCUCAUAUUCUAAAUAUGCAUAAACUGUACAUACAGCACAGUAACAUCAACGUUUUAGAAACCUUGCUCAUCUACUGGUAUUUUAGGAAUUCAAACAAUCAUUUUCAGGGUGUUCCUCUUUAAAUCAGAGACUAGGUGACCAGUCAAGUCUCGGCCCUAAGAACAUCAGUAGACAAAGAUCCAAAAUCAUGAAUCUCUAAUAUAACAUUUUCAAGAUCAAUUUAUCGACAAAUCCCCUACAAGAACCCCUUAACUCAACUAAUAAACUACUCACUCA